rnacentral:rRNA from 1 species
UUUAUUGGAGAGUUUGAUCCUGGCUCAGGAUGAACGCUGGCGGCGUGCCUAAUACAUGCAAGUCGAGCGAAUGGAUUGAGAGCUUGCUCUCAAGAAGUUAGCGGCGGACGGGUGAGUAACACGUGGGUAACCUGCCCAUAAGACUGGGAUAACUCCGGGAAACCGGGGCUAAUACCGGAUAAUAUUUUGAACUGCAUGGUUCGAAAUUGAAAGGCGGCUUCGGCUGUCACUUAUGGAUGGACCCGCGUCGCAUUAGCUAGUUGGUGAGGUAACGGCUCACCAAGGCAACGAUGCGUAGCCGACCUGAGAGGGUGAUCGGCCACACUGGGACUGAGACACGGCCCAGACUCCUACGGGAGGCAGCAGUAGGGAAUCUUCCGCAAUGGACGAAAGUCUGACGGAGCAACGCCGCGUGAGUGAUGAAGGCUUUCGGGUCGUAAAACUC